UGGCUCANGAUGAACGCUGGCGGCUGAUGAUGCCUUGGCUGUUGUGCGCGAUGGUGUCUCGAAGAGUAAUGCCAAGGCGAGCUCGACAUUGGUGCGUUCCACCGUCUCGGGUGUGAUUCUCGAUAUUCCGGUGAAGGUGGGUAACAGCGUCAUUUUGAGUAAUACGUUCAACGACGGUACUACCAUUGCCAGCGUGGCGAACAUGAACGACCUGAUUUUCCGUGGAAACAUUGAUGAAACGGAGGUGGGUCANCUGGUGUCGGGAAUGCCUAUGAAAAUAACCAUCGGUGCCUUGCAGGACUUG
rnacentral:rRNA from 1 species